AGAACGGUUGCAACCUUACAGGAACAACUACAAAUGGCACGACUGAAUGACGCUGAUUCUCAAAGAUAUGAAAGAAGUAGGUACAGCCAGACAGGAAUACAUGUAGAUGGAUACGUAUGAAAAAGACAAGACUGAAUGACAUUUAAUCCUCCAGAUAUAGAAAUAAGCAGUUACAGCUAGUGAGGAGUUUGUGAAAAUAAGUGAAAAAUACAGGACUGAUGCACCUUGACUCUCCAAGAUAUGGAAACAGGCAGCUACAGACAGAUAGAAAACCCUCCAGGGUGUGUGAAUAAGCAGUACAGCCAGACUGAAAUUGGUGAAAACAAUAUGAAAACUCAAGACUGAUAAAUGUUGACCCUGCAAGAUGUAAAUAAGCAGCUACCACUAGACAGGAAUCGAUGGAAACAUGUAGAAAAGACAAGACUGAUGGACGUUGACCCUCCAAGAUAUGGUAAAAACACAGCUACAACCAGUCAGAAAUCGAUGGUAACAACUUGAAAUGCUAGACUGAUGUACGUUGGUCUUCUCAACAGCAAGACUUACCACAGCGGAUAACUGUCCCUUAUCAGUGCCCAGUAGGAGACUCAGAUGAAAUUAUGUGGGUGUCCUUGACAUUUUGAAUGACAAGGAGCUCCCAGAAAAUAAAAGCAUCGAAGGGACAUAUCCUUGUGUUCGUGUUUGGAGAAAGACAAAGAAAGAUGUCAACAGAGAAAGCCAGAUCUGUGAAGCACACACAAGCACAUCCACCAAAGUUACGGGUGUCUGAGUUGGAAGAGGGUAUGGGGUCGCCCACUCAGACACGUGGGUUUUCUCCGGGUGCUCCGGUUUCCUCCCACAUUGACCCCACUUCUUUUUUCUGUACGCUAAUGACAUACAUGUAAUUAUGUUUUCGUUUU